rnacentral:rRNA from 1 species
GGGUGAUGCCAAUGGGGCGGAGCCUGAUGCAGCGACGCCGCGUGGGGGAUGACGGCCUUCGGGUUGUAAACCCCUUUCAUUAGGGAAGAAGCGAGAGUGACGGUACCUGCAGAAGAAGCGCCGGCUAACUACGUGCCAGCAGCCGCGGUAAUACGUAGGGCGCAAGCGUUGUCCGGAAUUAUUGGGCGUAAAGAGCUUGUAGGUGGCUUGUCGCGUCUGCCGUGAAAACCCGAGGCUCAACCUCGGGCGUGCGGUGGGUACGGGCAGGCUAGAGUGUGGUAGGGGAGACUGGAACUCCUGGUGUAGCGGUGAAUUGCAUGUAUAUCGGAAGAACACCGAUGGCAAAGGGGGUCUCUGGGCCAUUACUGACACUGAGAAGCGAAAGCAUGGGUAGCGAACAGGAUUAGAUACCCUGGUAGUCCAUGCCGUAAACGUUGGGCACUAGGUGUGGGGGACAUUCCACGUUUUCCGCGCCGUAGCUAACGCAUUAAGUGCCCCGCCUGGGGAGUACGGCCGCAAGGCUAAAACUCAAAGGAAUUGACGGGGGCCCGCACAAGCGGCGGAGCAUGCUGAUUAAUUCGAUGCAACGCGAAGAACCUUACCAAGGCUUGACAUGCACUGGACGGCUGCAGAGAUGUGGCUUUCUUUGGACUGGUGCACAGGUGGUGCAUGGUUGUCGUCAGCUCGUGUCGUGAGAUGUUGGGUUAAGUCCCGCAACGAGCGCAACCCUCGUUCUAUGUUGCCAGCACGUGAUGGUGGGGACUCAUAGGAGACUGCCGGGGUCAACUCGGAGGAAGGUGGGGACGACGUCAAAUCAUCGUGCCCCUUAUGUCUUGGGCUUCAAGCAUGCUACAAUGGUCGGUACAUGGGUUGCGAAACUGUGAGGUGGAGCGAUCCCCAAAAAGCCGGCCUCAGUUCGGAUUGGGGUCUGCAACUCGACCCCAUGAAGUCGGAGUCGCUAGUAAUCGCAGAUCAGCAACGCUGCGGUGAAUACGUUCCCGGGCCUUGUACAACACGCCGGUCAAGUACGAAAGUCGGUUACACCCGAAGGCAGUGGCUCAUCCUCGUGAGGGAGCUGUCGAAGGUGGGAAUCGGUGAUUGGGAACUAAGUCGUACAAAGGUAACAAGAUU